rnacentral:rRNA from 1 species
AUUCGUCCACGUACAUGCUUAGGAUGUUGACAUAAUGGCUUUAAACGACCCGUCUUGUAACACGGACCAAGGAGUCUAACAUAUCUGCGAGUAUUU